rnacentral:rRNA from 1 species
UACGUAGGGUGCAAGCGUUAAUCGGAAUUACUGGGCGUAAAGCGUGCGCAGGCUGUUAUGUAAGACAGAUGUGAAAUGCCCGGGCUUAACCUGGGAACUGCAUUUGUGACUGCAUGGCUAGAGUUUGGCAGAGGGGGGUAGAAUUCCACGUGUAGCAGUGAAAUGCGUAGAUAUGCGGAGGAACACCGAUGGCGAAGGCAAUCCCCUGGGCCUGCACUGACGCUCAUGCACGAAAGCGUGGGGAGCAAACAGG